UACGUAGGGGGCGAGCGUUGUCCGGAUUUAUUGGGCGUAAAGAGCGUGUAGGCGGUUCGGUAAGUCUGUCGUGAAAUCCUGAGGCUCAACCUCGGGCGUGCGAUGGAUACUGCCGGGCUAGAGGGUGGUAGAGGCGAGUGGAAUUCCCGGUGUAGCGGUGAAAUGCGUAGAUAUCGAGAGGAACACCUGCGGCGAAGGCGGGUUGCUGGGCUGACACUGACGCUGAGGCGCGAAAGCUAGGGGAGCGAACGGG
rnacentral:rRNA from 1 species